CAGACUUCUGCUUAUCCAUUUUGGUUCAUUCCCAAGGACAUACUGAUUUGUAACCAUGUUAGAAAUAUACCUACCUGUCACUAAAAUACAUGUCAAGUUACAUAAUCUGUUAAGAAACCAGAAGAUUCAGUGAGAAGCGUCAGAAGCAUCUCCCUAACAUGAGAAAUGAAACUUUUGAAAACAUCACCAAAGUUGUUCCUGUCUUGUACUACAGGGCUCUCUCUACUGACUGGAGAUCUCAGGAGAAAUCAUGACUCCUUUCGCCUCACCUGGCUGAACCACCUGGAUGUCUUUCCAUCAUUCUCUGUCUAUUAUUACCCUAUAGA
rnacentral:lncRNA from 1 species